UAGGGAAUCUUCGGCAAUGGACGAAAGUCUGACCGAGCAACGCCGCGUGAGUGAAGAAGGUUUUCGGAUCGUAAAACUCUGUUGUUAGAGAAGAACAAGGACGUUAGUAACUGAACGUCCCCUGACGGUAUCUAACCAGAAAGCCACGGCUAACUACGUGCCAGCAGCCGCGGUAAUACGUAGGUGGCAAGCGUUGUCCGGAUUUAUUGGGCGUAAAGCGAACGCAGGCGGUUUCUUAAGUCUGAUGUGAAAGCCCCCGGCUCAACCGGGGAGGGUCAUUGGAAACUGGGAGACUUGAGUGCAGAAGAGGAGAGUGGAAUUCCAUGUGUAGCGGUGAAAUGCGUAGAUAUAUGGAGGAACACCAGUGGCGAAGGCGGCUCUCUGGUCUGUAACUGACGCUGAGGCUCGAAAGCGUGGGGAGCAAACAGG
rnacentral:rRNA from 1 species